AUGAGUUCAAAUGACAACUGAUCAACCACAAAAGCAUAAAAGAACAAACGGGUUUUGUGAAUCCAACAUUAUUUUUUUCAUAAAAGAAAAUGUGUUACCACUUAAUAGUAAAAACAGCAAUUCUAGGCUUAUCGCUUGCAGCGUUAUAUCAUUAUGCAACUAUUUUUUACUUAAUAAAAGACAGAAAAUUUCGAAUACCUUCUACAGUAACUCAGGGAGGGAUCACUGUUGCUUUUGUUGCAAUUUAUUUGUCGUUCCUCUUCAGACAAAGGAAUUUUGAAUUGGAGUGCAUUUUAUCCUUUAUGGGGAGUAUAAUGCAUCUCGCCACAAGUGCCAUCAUUCUCGCUUGGUUACACUCUUAUCCCAAGGACAAAAUUGCGAUACAAGUCGGAUUGAGUGGGAUUGGACUGGGUAUCCUCUUUUUCAUUGAUUUCAUUUUAGUCUUGCAGGAUAAAACCAUGAUCUAUGCUGAGACAAAUAGGCUCAAGCAAAUUACCUAUGGCGAAUAAAAAUAUUUUUUACACAUAA